UACGUAGGGGGCAAGCGUUGUCCGGAUUUAUUGGGCGUAAAGAGCUCGUAGGUGGUUCGGUAAGUCGGAUGUGAAAUCUCCAGGCUCAACCUGGAGGGUCAUUCGAUACUGCCGUGACUAGAGUUCGGUAGGGGAGUGUGGAAUUCCGUGGUGGAGCGGUGGAAAUGCGCAGAUAUCAGGAGGAACACCCGUAGCGAAGGCGGCACUCUGGGCCGAUACUGACACUGAGGAGCGAAAGCGUGGGGAGCGAACAG
rnacentral:rRNA from 1 species